GAUGAACGCUAGCUACAGGCUUAACACAUGCAAGUCGAGGGGAAACGACAUUGAAGCUUGCUUCGAUGGUCGUCGACCGGCGCACGGGUGAGUAACGCGUAUCCAACCUGCCUCUGACCAAGGGAUAACCCGUCGAAAGUCGGCCUAAUACCUUAUGCAGUCUUCGGAAGUCAUCUGAUGACGACGAAAGAUUUCAUCGGUGAGAGAUGGGGAUGCGUCUGAUUAGCUUGUUGGCGGGGUAACGGCCCACCAAGGCAACGAUCAGUAGGGGUUCUGAGAGGAAGGUGCCCCACAUUGGAACUGAGACACGGUCCAAACUCCUACGGGAGGCAGUAGUGAGGAAUAUUGGUCAAUGGGAGAGAGCCUGAACCAGCCAAGUAGCGUGCAGGAUGACGGCCCUAUGGGUUGUAAACUGCUUUUAUGAGGGGAUAAAGUGAGGGACGUGUCCUUCAUUGCAGGUACCGCAUGAAUAAGGACCGGCUAAUUCCGUG
rnacentral:rRNA from 1 species